AUUAAAAAAUAAAGAAAAAGCCCAUUUUGCUCCCAAUGCCAUCUUCUACUUUCUUCCCCUCCCAACAAUGAAAAACCCUCAAAAACCGAAAGGCUGGUGAGGAGGAGGACGACCAUGGUGGCCACUGCAUUGCUGCUUACUUCCUCUUUACUGCUGAUUACGGCCCCGAGCCCAACGCUCUCGAUCCUUUCAUUGAUGCUGAAACAAUGGUUUCUCCAACAAUUUUUGCCCGUCGUAGUUUAUCUUUUCUCAUGAGUGACAAGCCUCAGGAACCUCUCAACGAAGCAAUGCAAGCACAAGUAGUUUCCCCAGUUUGGCACAUUGUAUCUUAUCUUCAGGGUGCUGCCCUUUCGGCCUUCUUGCUUGGAAGGACAGCUUUCUAAUGAUGAUGGUACUGAGUUGGCAUGGUUGGCUACACAAUGUAUACAAUCUGAACCCUGAGAGCGACCAAAUCCAAAGUCAUUAGUUGCUUCUUUGACUCCUCUUCAGAAAGAGACUGAGGUUCCUUCUUUUGUUUUGAUGGGUAUCCCACAUGGUACCUUCUGGUCUUCUCUUUCACAAGUCGGUGAUGCCUGCUCAAGAACGGAUAUGACCGCUAUACAUGAGAUCCUAGAGAAUAUCGGCUAUAAAGACGAUGGAAUGACAAAUGAGUGCUCGUUCAAAUGUGGACUGACCAAAUGCAGGAAUGAUAAGAUUCAAAGAAAAUGGGGGAUUCUGCUUUUAAGCACUAGGACAUCAGAACCACAAUUGAGUGUUAUUCACAGGUUCUUAUUAUGAUACUUGUGGGAAAUUCUGAGUAGAGGUUUGAUAAGAGUUGCGCUCAUACCGAUAUCCGAAUUUGGCCUUCAAGAGGAUGUUCUUUAUCUGACCUGUUAAAAUAAAUUACCAAACACAGCUUCGUACAGAAUUUUUGUUUGGCAUUAGAUUUCCGGUCAGAACACUAUCAUUACAUUUUAUCUUCUGAUUCAUGAUAGGAAGAAUUGAAGAAAUGAAAUUGUUAGUUUAAGGUAUUUUUAAUCAGUCAGGAACGGCGUAUGUUGCGAAAAUUGGUAGUUUAAGGUACCUUAGAGUACCUGAACCUAGUAACUCUACUUGCAUGACCAAUAAAAAGAACAAAACUGAAAGAAAAGAAAAAUUAGUAAAUCCUUUUUAACUGCUGCUUUCUCUGCAUUUGUUAUCGUUGCUAACAGUUCUAUUUCACUUGCAGGUCAUUGGAGUUUGAACAAUGGUUUCUCCAACAAUUUUUGACCGGCGUAGUUUGUCUUAUCUCAUGAGUGACAACCCUCAGGAAGCUAUAAAAGAUGCAAUGCAAGCACGAGUAGUUUCCCCAGUUUGGCACAUUGCAUGUUAGGCUGUUGCCCUUUCGGCCCUUGGAAUGGUACUAUGCUUGAAUCCAAAAUGAGCAAAGCAGCUGGAUAGAAGUGAAACUCUAGGCCGCUCGACCAGGUUCCUAGCUUGCCACUUCUCUCGGUUUGGCUCUCAGCUUAUAUAGCCGUCGAUCGAUCAUAAGGUUUAAAACCACUAGAGCCAAAGCUUCAUCAUUUCCACGAUAAUGGUUCGUGGAAGCUCUUUCAGUGAAGUGAGGCCGUCUACACUGUCUCAGAAGAUGCUGUAGAUAAAAAUAAACAAGCACAUGUAGUUAGGUUUUUAAGAAGACAGUGAAAUUAAUCCGAAUGACUUUACGAAUAGAUGCAUGCUUAUUGCUUAAUUUAAGAAGGACAAAUAAAAUCACAUUUACAUACCAUUGCUUAAUUGAA